UAGCCCAACCCUGCGACAGCACCACACAACAUGGCACACACACCAGCAGCAGUCUAUUUCAAUCUCCUCUUUUUGAGUCCUUAAAAUAAAAACACGGAGAAUCGACCGUCUGGGAUUUUUUUUUGUCUCAAUGUUUUCAGCGAGAACUAAACGGGCCUUGGCCCACGAGAGAGGAGAGUGACAGUUUGACUUACGCGGGCCGGAGCUUGGGAGCGGUCUUGACGGGACUGGCCAGUUUUUUGGGGUUUUCGAGGGUUUGGCAGGCCCCGGGACGAGGACCAAAGCGCGCCUUGGCCCGGGGCGCGAGAGUGGGCGUGUCGAUGGAGCGGAGAGAUAAGAGAGGAAGAGAGGAGAGCGAGCGGAGGAGUGAGCGGAGGAGUCUGGGAACACGGUGAAGAGAUCUGGACAGCACAUGACGAGUCGUACGAUGUGUUGCGUCUCGAACCCCUCACUCAGCACCCACUCGCACCCACAUGGCCGGCUCCGCCAGAGCCAAGGACACGGAGGACUGGAUGUCAGUGAGAGAAAGCCAUUCUGCUCCAACUGGAUGAGACAGUAGUCAGCCACUAUGUCAGUAGUGUGGCUGGUGUAUGGGUGCUGGUGUGGAGGAGAUGGCUGGAGUGCAGGCCUUUGAAGGUGUAACGUGAGCGGGCCUGAUCACAGAGGGCCGAGGGAAAGCUGAUACGGCGCGGCGCUUGUGACGGCACCGGCCGCUGCCUUUGUUGUGGGGGAUUCUGCGUUUAACUGGAAACAGGUUGGGGUCCCUUGGCCACGGGGAAUUCACACCCUCCCAUACACACAUGCACACG